rnacentral:tRNA from 1 species
ACCCACAAAAUCAUUAGAUGAAAAGCUGUAAACUUUUUCAACUCUUCAAACCC